AUUUUACUACCCAAAAAUCUGAUAAUUUUACUGAAAGUAGCCAUGGGCUUUCGGGUGACUCGAGGGGUCACAAUGAGAUUGAGGAUGUUGUGGAAGAAAUUCGGCAUUUGCGAAGUGAGGGGAGGGAUGACGAGUUGAGGUCACAGGGGGAGAGAAUUCCGCUGCCAUGGGAGUUAUUACAGCCGGCAUUGAGGAUUUUGGGGCACUGCUUGCUAGGGCAUUUGAUUACAGAGGAUGUGAAAGCAGCAACUUCAGUGGCAAUAAGGAGCUUGUAUGCUGGGCCUCCCAUGACCUGAACCCGCAGGCCAUUUUGGCGACUAGCAGUCUGAUUUAGCUAGAUAACAGGGCAUGCGAGGCUGUUGCUGCAGCUGCAGCUGCCAGUGCUACCUCCAAUGCUAAUACACCCACUCAUUAUGCUGAUGCUAUUGGUCCCUGCUAUGGAAUUCCCAAUUAUUGUGAUGUUUGGCAAUUGAACCUGUUG